GACGAAUGCUGGCUGCGUGCUUAACACAUGCAAGUCGAACGGUGAAAGGGAGCUUGCUCCCUGGAUCAGUGGCGAACGGGUGAGUAACACGUGGGCAACCUGCCCCUGACUCUGGGAUAACGCUUCGAAAGAGGUGCUAAUACCGGAUACGAACUCCCUUGGCAUCUUGGGAGUUGGAAAGUUUUUCGGUCAGGGAUGGGCCCGCGGCCUAUCAGCUUGUUGGUGAGGUAACGGCUCACCAAGGCGACGACGGGUAGCCGGCCUGAGAGGGCGACCGGCCACACUGGGACUGAGACACGGCCCAGACUCCUACGGGAGGCAGCAGUGGGGAAUAUUGCGCAAUGGGCGAAAGCCUGACGCAGCAACGCCGCGUGAGGGAUGACGGCCUUCGGGUUGUAAACCUCUUUCAGCAGGGAAGAAGCGAAAGUGACGGUACCUGCAGAAGAAGCACCGGCCAACUCCGUGCCAGCAGCCGCGGUAAAAC
rnacentral:rRNA from 1 species